CCCAUGGCUCAAAAGUGAGAAUAAAUAAAUAAACAUUUUACAUUUGAAAACCAAUAAGCCUAUUCAUCUUUAGUUGGGCGUGAUCACGGCCUGUGCAUACGCAAGACCUACGGGAAAAACUGGUUAACAAAUACCGAUUAACCGAUAAACUGUCUGAGAGAACGUCUGAAUGCUUAUAAUAUCACCGCACUAACCGUGUAGUGGACACUAUUGUCCUGAAGUGAAACCACGCAAUAGAUUUUGGAAAUCGGUCAUAACACCGAGAUCAAGAGCGCCCAGGUUCUUGAAUUUGGAGGGAAUAGAACCAUGGCGUUGAAAAUUACUUGAGUUGGCAUCAUUGUCGUGACAGUGGAGAGUCUUAACCCCCUACAACUGUUGAGAAUCAUUACCACACUGCUGCAACCAGGACAGUCUCUCAAGGUACACAAUGACUUUACCCCACCUUGCUGGCACGGCAUUUUACAUCCUACUGAAAAUUUACCCUGAUGGAAAUGGUCAUGAAAUGGCGGUUGAUUAUGGCGUCCAGAUAACUGCACCACGGCUCGGCUCCUUCACGGAUAAAAGCAUGACCCGUUUCCCCUGCCGUUUGGCGUCACAUGUUAGUGUGGAAGGCCCGUGGGAGGGACAGAGGGAUUAGGCCCAAACCGCACUAUUCCAGAUGGAAGAUGUGGCCCUGACAGUGCUGUUACUUUCCAUAACCGCACGCAGGUUUGCCCGAUUGCAUGAUAAAGUACACCACUGUAAACUGAGACCAGUCUGCAGGGCUGAGUAGGACUACAGAGUAAACUGUCACUCACGUGGACCAGCUGGCUGGAAGAUGGCGAUGGCUCACUGAUGUGUGCUAAAAUACACUUGAUUGACUAACUGGUUAAUUGAUUGAUUGAUUGAUUGACUGAUUGACAGCACAUGGAGUCAGCAGUGUCUAAGUCUGGUUCUAGUUUCUUUUAUGUCCUGAAACAGGACACAAAAUAAUUACAUUGAGUGUAUGCACCUCAACAGUAUCACAAUGGUGUAUAUUGUGACAUGCAUACAUACAUAUGCCCAGCCCUAUUGGUUAUGACAGUCUCAGGAGUCUUGGUGUUUUUCUUGAAGGUUAGAACUAACCAAACUCAUCUGGAUGGUUGCAUGAGGUGUGUGUUCUUGGUGCCUUUGCAUUAAAGGGUUUUCUUCACAAUGAAAAAACACCACAUCCUGUUGGCAUUAGAGUAAAAAAAAAAAGGAUCCACUUUGUAAACAGUGCAAUUUUGGCCAUGCCCAUGUUCAAUCCUUUGAUGCUGAGAUCCAGACGACUAGGGUCAUUUAUUUUGCUGGCACACACACACGCACACACGCACACACGCACGCACACGCACACACACGUACACAGACACACACACAUACACACCCUCACCCACAUGUUUACUGAAGUUUUUCCCUUAGAAAAUAUGCCACAAGUGUACAUGACAGCAGUUUGCUGAGACCAUGAACCUACACCUGGAGCACACGCACAGUCCCUGGAUCUCUCUGCCAGAGGACUAGCUUUGAUUUCAGCUGGCCGUUUGGAACUGAGCGCGCGGUUGGUCCUGGCUGCAUCGCAUGAAGACAUUUGUUCAGUAGUGCAUGCUGAUACUGUACAGAGAGGGUAUUGCUGCCAGGACUGAUCACAAUACUGCAUAAAUUCUCCUGGAUUAAUGAACAAUCAAAGGACUGGCUAUGGAUCUAAGCCAAGCCCCAUAGGGUACCCAGAAAACAUGCAUGAUCAAAAACAACAAUGAAGAAGAAACGACUGAGUUAUCACCUAGCUUUCAAUGCACACUGUGCCAUUGGAAUUAUACAUGCCAACACACAUAGUCGGUUUAGGUCUUGUGUUGACUUUUGUGCAGUGUGCAUUGAUAAGAGGAAUCCAUUGUGACAUUUUUCAUUUGUGAAGAUAAAUUUCCCUGCACAAGCCAGAGGGUAUGCACUGGAGAAAAGCACACACAAUGCAGUGAAAUGUAUGUGCCUUAUUAUCAUAUAAAUUACAUCCCGUGCAUGACUCUAAUCUCCAUUUAUUUGGCUCGAUUCACAUGUUUAAUUCAAUGGCCAAUUUGAACAUUUGAAAUAGGAGACUUUCAUGUUGCAGCCUCUCAGUAGAGGAGGGUAUUUGCUAUCUCUCUAUCUGCAACGUGAAAUUAAUAGCAGGAUUAUAUCCUGGAGGUUCAGGUAUUUCAGCAGAAGAUUGCACACCAUCAGCAUCAUAAUGCCUUAAUGGAUAUGGCUAUAGAUAUGGAUGAUGUUAGAGUGAUGUUCAUGUACUUAUCAAAACAAAUAGAUGCUACAGUAUCUCAAAGCAAA